UACAGAGGGGCAAGCGUUAUUCGGAAUUAUUGGGCGUAAAGGGCGCGUAGGCGGCCUGACAAGUGGAUGGUGAAAUCCCUCGGCUUAAACCGAGGAACUGCCAAUCCAGACUGUUUGGCUUGAGACCGGGAGAGGUGAGUGGAAUUCCCAGUGUAGCGGUGAAAUGCGUAGAUAUUGGGAAGGAACACCAGUGGCGAAGGCGGCUCACUGGGCCGGUACUGACGCUGAUGCGCGAAAGCGUGGGGAGCAAACGGG
rnacentral:rRNA from 1 species